CACCUAGGUUUGAAAUGUAGCUGCAAGCCGAAAGAAACUUUGGCCGCCUUCGAGGGUGCUACACAGGUGCUGCAUGGUUGCCGUCAGCUCGUGUCGUGAGAUGUACCGUUAAGUCGGGUAACGAGCGCAACCCCCGUCCCAUGUUGUUUUUUCAUGGGAGACCGCCUCGGAUAACGGGGAGGAAGGUGGGGAUGACGUCAAAUCAGCAUGGCUCUUACACCUAGGGCUACACACGUGCUACAAUGGCUAUGACAAUGGGCUGCCAAGUCGUAAGACGGAGCUAAUCCCACCAAACAUAGCCCCAGUUCGGAUUGAGGGCUGAAAUUCGCCCUCAUGAAGCCGGAUUUGCUAGUAAACGCGUAUCAGCAUCGGCGCGUUGAAUACGUUCUCGGGUCUUGUACUCACCGCCCGUCACAUCAAGAGAGUUGUAUAUGCCCGAAGGCCCCGAUGAGGGGACGAAGGUAGAGACAGCGAUAGGGAUGAAGUCGUAACAAGGCAUCCGUAGCGGAAGCUGUGGAUGGAUCACCUCCUUU
rnacentral:rRNA from 1 species